UACGGAGGGAGCUAGCAUUGUUCGGAAUUACUGGGCGUAAAGCGCACGUAGGCGGCUUUGUAAGUUAGAGGUGAAAGCCCGGGGCUCAACUCCGGAACUGCCUUUAAGACUGCAUCGCUUGAAUCCAGGAGAGGUGAGUGGAAUUCCGAGUGUAGAGGUGAAAUUCGUAGAUAUUCGGAAGAACACCAGUGGCGAAGGCGGCUCACUGGACUGGUAUUGACGCUGAGGUGCGAAAGCGUGGGGAGCAAACAGG
rnacentral:rRNA from 1 species